UACGUAGGGUGCAAGCGUUAAUCGGAAUUACUGGGCGUAAAGCGUGCGCAGGCGGUUAUGUAAGACAGUUGUGAAAUCCCGGCUCAACCUGGGAACUGCAUCUGUGACUGCAUAGCUAGAGUACGGUAGAGGGGAUGGAAUUCGCGUGUAGCAGUGAAAUGCGUAGAUAUGCGGAGGACACCGAUGGCGAAGGCAAUCCCCUGGACCUGUACUGACGCUCAUGCACGAAAGGCGUGGGAGCAAACAGG
rnacentral:rRNA from 1 species